AUCUUCCUAAAGAUCCCUGCCUACCUGGGGCCUUCCAAAGGUAAUCUGGAAAACAGUCAUUUCAGUGAUAAUCAGGAGUUCUGCUUCUCUUCUUGGUUGUAAUAGAUGUGAAGCAAGAUGACAGCAGUGAGAGAGGAUGAGUUGAUUGAGCAAGAUGAGAAGGUUACUCUUCUGGAGGAAAUGCUACAGACAGCUCAGUUCUAUUGAGGAAAACACUUCUUUGACAUGCUACCAUUUAGAGUGUCACAGUUCGAGACUCCUUGAAAGAAGAUGACUUUUUGCUCAUUCUGGAGAUCUGGAGAUAUCAAUUAGUAAAUUGAAGACCUUAGAAGCUGUUCCACUAAAGUCAACAUCUGGAUGUUUGCAAUUUCACCUGAACAACUUAAGGAAGUUAAUAAGUCCUUGCAGGUAUUUGUUACAUUGUGCGUUAAUCAUGGGAGAACGAAUAUGCAGUUAUUUGAGAUGUAAUUCUGACUGGCUGGAAGAAUGAUUCCUUUUGGAUGCUAACAAAUUCUGAGGAGGAGAGUUGAGGAGGGCUUGCUGACUGAAUCCAGGAAAGUUUGGAUUGCCUGUGGAAGAGAGAAGGGAUCCUGAUCUAUGUUCCCUAGAUGGAUUUCACAACUAAGUGUAAGUAAUCAGUAAAAGGCGGAGAAUGAACUAAAGACCAACACAAGCCUUCUGCACCCUCAACAUGGGCCUUGAGCCAGUCCUCUUAACGCAUAGGAAACAGAAGAAAGAUGCUGAAACCAAACCUGCCUAUAUCUGUUAUCGCUGUAUCUCAAUGCCAGCACGAGUUCACGUGUUACUUGAAAGCAGCACUGCAAGGAAACUCUGCUCUAUCCUUAAACACAUGGCUCCUGGAGGAGGGAGCAUGCCAGAGAGUGAUGGGAGACAUUUACUCCUCAUUCCAAAAGAGAAGCUCUCUGAUUCUGAGAGAGAUACUUUUCAGUUUUACAUUCCAGCAUGGUACGGCUGUCGUGGAUGCUGGUGUUACACAUCCCAAAUAAGGAGCAGCGUUGGGAAAAUUUUGAAACUAUUGGGACUCUAAGGAAAGGUCUGGCCUAUCCCUGCGUGGCAGUGUUGCACUAUGGCAGUCAGAAACACUGUAGUCAAAUCUUACAGGAGAAACUGAAGUCUGAAACCCCUCUUUUACGUUUAAGAGUCUGCAAAUGACAACAGAAGAAAGAUUUCAGGAAAUAAAAUACGUGUUAUAGUGCUUUUCUAGUCAAGAGCAGAGUUAUGCUUCUUCAUGUGUGUGUCCUCAACUGCUUUGGAGCAAUACCAUUCAUUCCACAUCUGUUUCUGUCGUGCACUUAGUGUAUGGUAGGUAAAUACACACAGCUGGAAGCUGAAUCUCAAAGCUCCAGUUCCCAAAUUGCGGGCUGUGGUUCAUGAGGUCACAGUAAGUGGUCUGUGGCAGGCCUGCAGACCUGUAAACUGGAAUAACAUUUAUUUAAUCACUUCUUUCUAAGUAAAAAUGCUGGGAGUGGUGAAAGUUUGAAGGGUAACAGCGAUCAUUAGUCCAAAAGGUGUGGAAAUCCUUGUCGUGAGGUCUUUGAAUCAGCUGUAUGGUUAAGAUUUGUGAAGGGGUUUCUGAGAAAGAAUGUAUAUAUAUGCUGUGUACAGUAAGAUAUUGUGUGAUGGAAGGUAUGAGUACCUGUAACAUUGAUUUUCAUCCCUGGGGCAGCUUUAGAUCAUUUUUGGCAAGUUUUAUAUUUCUAACUUUGACAUCCCUCUGAGAAUUUACUGUUUCUCUAUUAGACCUAGAGUUACAAAUGUAUGUGGUCAUAUAAAGAGAGAAAUAUGAGAAAUGAUCCUUAACAAAAAAAGCAUUAGAAAUAACAGCUCAAUAGAUUUACUGUGUGACACAACACAUGACAAAGAGCACAAAUGCUGCAUACGUAGCAGAGUUCAUCCUCGGCUCACUUCAUGCAUGCAGUUUGAAGACUGGCUUUUUCUUUGUUAUACGUGAAAGAAGAUUCCAUUAAUUUCAUCAACGUAUUUGUUAUUCAAAAUUGUUCACUAGAAUUCUGCAAAAACGUCUUAAAAUGCCAAUUAUUUGUAACUGGGCUCCCACAGACAUUGCUUGAAAUACUCAAAAGUCGAGACAAGCCAGGCAGCUUUUUGUAGAAUGUGUGAGUUUUACGCCUCUGGAUAAAUGCAACUCAUGGAAUCCAGUUCCCACAGUGAAUAUUUAUACUUAAGACUUAAAACGUUCGUUUUAUAUCAAUAUUUUCCAGCGUGAACUUAAAACAUACCAUUUCUGCAAAUGUUCCUCCAGGAGUCGUUUGUUUGAACACGGUGAAGGCAUCUCAGAAAAGAUUGCCUGUACAGCUGGAAUAAUUUUGAAUAAAAUUC
rnacentral:lncRNA from 1 species